AAUAUAUGUAAAAUCAAUUUAUAUGUUAAUUAGCUCCACUGUGGUAAUUAUCUCACAAUGUAUACCUAUAUCAAAACGUUAUGUUGUACACCUUAAAUACAUACAAUUGUUUUUGACGAUUAUACCCCAAUAAAGCU